UCAAUUAGACUGUGUCAUGACUGCACUCUUGCACAUACAUUCAUACCUUUCUGUUACUACAGUGGGAUUCUUCUCAAUACUACCAAAAGUUCAGGUUCCAGCCUCAGCUCAUCAUACCCUACCUCUGUGGUGCUCAGUGAGACGAAGCACUGAUACCUACCUUUGACUAGGGGACUGUGUUCCAGAUGACUGAAGUCAGGUGAAGUAAAACCCAUUUGAAUGUGACAAAGGCAAGCUGAAAGCUGAAGAGCACAGUCACAGUGGGCAUGCAGAGAAUGAAAGCCAGGCAGAGCUCCCAUCCACCAGCCCUGUUCAUAAAGCAAGAUCACCACGCUCACAGGAGGCCACAGAGGGAACAUCAGCUGCCAGAUGAGAGAGUAAACCUGAGUGGCACCUGUCCAGGAUGAAGGAGUUACUGCACUAUAUUUUCCAACCGCUUGAAGCAGUUUUUAAUGACCACAUGUAGCCAGAACUUCAGUUUUACAGUGUUUCCAAAAGCUGACAGGAUAUUCAUAGCUUUGUUCUGAGUUUUUACAAGCUAUCAUGGUCUUGGCUGGGAGGCAAAGAGUGGCACAUCUUUAAUUGCUGCUGAGCUCUGCAGCACCUGGGAGCUGCUGGAAGAUUGCCACCUCCCUGCCAGUAAGACCUGCCUCAGCUACUUUUGUAAGCUCUGACAAGAACUCAAACUGGUGCGAUGUUGCUGCAAAUUUUGAUAAUGUAGAUAAUGUAACACCUUUAUCAAAAGCAUAAGGAAAAUUUAUGUUUUGGAUUUAUUCUUUUUUUUUUUUGGUCUUUAUUGAGCAAGCUGCUCAGUGGAUGAAACUGACAAAAAUGUGCAAAGAACACAUACCACAGCAUGCAUGGAUGUCUGAUCGUGUGCAUAGAUGUCUGAUCAUAUGAAUUUCAUUUUGAAAAGCUGACAGAAUGCUUGGACAAGUCAUUCUUUGUUGCUUUAAGUAUGUGAAAGUGUCCCCGUGCUGUCUUCCUGUAUUUUUUUCUAAGGCCAC